UACAGAGGGGGCAAGCGUUGUUCGGAAUUACUGGGCGUAAAGCGUGCGCAGGCGGUUCGUUGUGUCGGUGGUGAAAGCCCCGGGCUUAACCUGGGAAUGGCCAUGGAAACUGGCGAACUGGAGUGUGGCAGAGGGGGGUGGAAUUCCGCGUGUAGCAGUGAAAUGCGUAGAGAUGCGGAGGAACACCGAUGGCGAAGGCAGCCCCCUGGGCUAACACUGACGCUCAUGCACGAAAGCGUGGGGAGCAAACAGG
rnacentral:rRNA from 1 species